AUGUGCAUGAAGAAAUUUAUUAAGGAUAGGGUGCAGUCUUGUUUGGUUUGUCAGCAAGCUAAACCUGAAAGAGUUAAGUAUCCAGGACUGCUUUCUCCUUUACCAGUUCCAAGUAAGGCAUGGGAAACUGUGACCAUGGAUUUUAUUACUGGAUUACCUCCUUCCUAUCAGUUUGAUUGCAUAUUAGUGGUCAUUGACAAGUUUACAAAAUAUGGGCAUUUCAUGGCCCUCAAACACCCUUUUUCUGCACAAAAGGUUGCUGAAGUGUUCUUGGACAAUAUAUACAAAUUGCAUGGCAUGCCAGAGUACAUUGUAUCUGAUAGAGAUCCGGUGUUCACAAACAAAUUUUGGCAAAUUUUUGUUCACAGGACUGGGACUCAGCUUAACAUGAGUACUGCAUAUCACCCUGCUACUGAUGGUCAGACUGAGAGAGUCAACCAGCAGAUUGAAUGCUACCUCAGAAGUUUUAUUAGUGCUCACCCCUCCAAAUGGAGCAAAUGGCUGUCCAUGUGUGAGUUUUGGUAUAAUACAAAUUGGCAUUCAGCUGCGGGCAAGUCUCCUUUUGAGGUACUUUAUGGGCACUCUCCUAGAUAUUUUGGGAUUGCUGCCAGUGAUACUGUUGCCCCUGUGGAUAUUACCCAGUGGCUGCAAGACAGGGAGGUUGUGGUAGCUUCUGUUAAACAACAUCUGCUCCGAGCUCAACAAAGAAUGAAGCACAUGGCUGAUAAAAACAGGACUGAGAGAUCUUUCAACGUUGGAGAACAAGUUUUCUUGAAACUGCAACCGUAUGUGCAAUCUUCAGUUGUGCAUAGAGCAAACCACAAGCUAGCUUUCAAAUACUUUGGACCCUAUACCAUCCUUGACAAGAUUGGGGAAGUGGCUUACAAAUUGGAAUUGCCUCCGGACAGCAGAAUUCAUCCGGUUCAUGUGUCUCAGCUUAAGAAGCAACGAGUCCGGCAGCAUGGCAAACGUACGAUCGCUCAAGGCUUG
rnacentral:rRNA from 1 species